rnacentral:tRNA from 1 species
GGCAAGGUGGCCGAGUGGUUAUGGCGUUACGUUUAGGUACGAGCAUCCCUGCUCAUUUACUAUCCGUAAUUCGAAAGAGCGUGGGUUCGAUCCCCACCCUUGUCA